rnacentral:rRNA from 1 species
GACGAACGCUGGCGGCGUGCUUAACACAUGCAAGUCGAACGGAAAGGCCCCUUUGGGGGUACUCGAGUGGCGAACGGGUGAGUAACACGUGAGUAACCUGCCCUUGACUUCGGGAUAACUUCAGGAAACUGGGGCUAAUACCGGAUAGGAAUCCUUGCUGCAUGGUGGGGGUUGGAAAGCUUCGGCGGUUUUGGAUGGACUCGCGGCUUAUCAGCUUGUUGGUGGGGUAGUGGCUUACCAAGGCUUUGACGGGUAGCCGGCCUGAGAGGGCGACCGGCCACAGUGGGACUGAGAUACGGCCCAGACUCCUACGGGAGGCAGCAGUGGGGAAUAUUGCACAAUGGGCGGAAGCCUGAUGCAGCAACGCCGCGUGCGGGAGGACGGCCUUCGGGUUGUAAACCGCUUUCAGCAGGGGCGAAGCUUGUGGUGACGGUACCUGCAGAAGAAGCACCGGCUAACUACGUG